UUAAUUUUAAAAACUAAAAUAGUAAUUCUUCAUUCUAUGGGAUCGUACCUCUGUGUCCUCGAGGAACCAUGAUCGUCGGGUCAGAGCGUGAUUGAUGUCUGAUCCGUUCUUCGGAAGUGUUCAUGGCUGUAGAGGAUUGUUCUCGGUUGGAAUUUCCUAGCUGGGGCGGUCCCAUGAUUGUUUGACAGAUA
rnacentral:snoRNA from 1 species